UGUUGAUGAUGAAAAAUACAAAGGCUUGUUUCUCAAACAUUUGCAGUGGCUGCAUAAGAGCUUUUGCCUUUGCCAGGCUUGAGAGCUAAUGCUGCUCUAUCCUUCCUUGGAUGUCUGGAAGU